CUUGCGAUCGAGAGAGGAACAGUCGACGUCAAGAACGAAAACAGCGAUGCUUACACCCACUUGAUGGAUCGUCUGCUGACGGAAGUUGCGGUCAUAUUUGAAUUCAGGACCCUUGUUAGAAUAUAAGGAAUAAUCAAAUUGCACAUGAGAAGGUAAACAUACUAGUCAGUCAGAGACAAUAUUCUGUGUGGCAUGUUUUACGCACAUAGGCUUAAGACAAUAUCAAAACAUUUUAGAAUAGCAGUGGGGACAAAUUCCAUCACCGUCCCUGAUGUUUGAGGAACAAUUGUUACAUAAGAAGAAGCCACAUGGAUAAAACACAGUGUUCUUUGGGUUAACUUUGCAGACACUACACAAUAAUGCUGCUACCGGAGCAGUUCGACCACGUACAUUGGGCUGGGAUCGUGUUUCGCGGCCACGACCCCGUCGUCCACGGACUGUACCAGA